CUGGGCUAGAAUGCCUCUGACAACCCUAGAGAUAGGGCUUCCUAGGGAAACCUAGGCAGAGUGCAAGGUGCUGCAUGGCUGUCGUCAGCUCGUGUCGUGAGAUGUUGGGUUAAGUCCCGCAACGAGCGCAACCCUUAUCGAUAGUUGCUAGCGGUUCGGCCGAGCACUCUAUUGAGACUGCCGUUGACAAACCGGAGGAAGGUGGGGAUGACGUCAAGUCCUCAUGGCCCUUAUAGGUGGGGCUACACACGUCAUACAAUGGCCGGUACAAAGGGCUGCCAACCCGCGAGGGGGAGCUAAUCCCAUAAAACCGGUCGUAGUCCGGAUCGCAGUCUGCAACUCGACUGCGUGAAGUCGGAAUCGCUAGUAAUCGUGGAUCAGAAUGUCACGGUGAAUACGUUCCC
rnacentral:rRNA from 1 species